rnacentral:rRNA from 1 species
GACGAACCGUGCGAACGUUGUUCGGAAUCACUGGGCUUAAAGGGCGCGUAGGCGGGCCGUCAAGUCAGGGGUGAAAGCCCCCAGCUCAACUGGGGAAGUGCCUUUGAUACUGACGAUCUCGAGGGAGGUAGGGGCGUGCGGAACUUCCGGUGGAGCGGUGAAAUGCGUAGAUAUCGGAAGGAACGCCGGUGGCGAAAGCGGCGCGCUGGACCUCUUCUGACGCUGAGGCGCGAAAGCCAGGGGAGCAAACGGG